GAUCUUUAUUUUUAUUUUUUUAUAAAUUAAUAAAAUUUUUAUAAUUUAUAGAAAAAUUAAAAAUUUUACUGGGGUGGUAUUAAAAUUUAAUUAACUUUUAUUUAUAAUAACAUAAAUUUAUGAAUUAUUGAUCCAAUUAUAUUGAUUAAAAAAUUAAGUUACCUUAGGGAUAACAGCGUAAUUUUUUUUUAGAGUUCAUAUCGACAAAAAAGAUUGC
rnacentral:rRNA from 1 species